rnacentral:piRNA from 2 species
UAGCUGACACUUGGAAAGCUGAC